rnacentral:lncRNA from 1 species
UUUUGAUAAAAAAAAUUUGUAGAUUUUGAUAGAAGUUGAGGUAAUAUGUGGUUGAAAGUUGAUAAAAGGUGUGGGCACAUGAAAUUUGCAGUUGAAGUUGAAGUUUUACCAGUUAAAAAGUUAGAAAAAUUUAAGAAAAAUUUAUCACCUAGGCACUAUUACUAUUUAUUGAUCUCACAUUCUCUUGACCUGAUCUGAAGAAUACAAAACAGGCAGAAAAGGGAGUAUGGGAAGAAAAUAAGGAAAUAGCAAAGGAAUGAGGUCAUACUUCCAUGUUAACUUUUUGAGUUUGUAAAUAAGAAGGCUGAUAGUAGUGAGAAACAGCUCAUCCAUUUGUUAGCUAUGCAUGUAAUGGCACUUUUGAAUAGUCAUUGAUACAGGUUUUGUUGUGCUACUUGAAUUUAUACAGUUCUCUUCAGUAAUAGGUGAUGCUUACCCAAGUACUCGAAAGAAAUUCAUAGAGCAUGUCAAGAUUUGUUUCAUAAUAAAUUGAUCCUCCAUAUUCUUUGGUGUUUUCUUCCGUUUUGAAUGUUUCACCGAUACUCAAUGGAACGUGGAAUUGGACUGACUGCUUUUUCCAUUUGGAAAAUGAUGAUUUGAUAUUAUGAAGUCAUAUAAUGUUUUGUGAAUUACAAUCAUGUUACAAUGACAUAAUGGUUGACAUAAUUCUUGACAUAAUAUUAUAUGAUAUUGAAUAGUUUAAAAUACAGUCAACUAUUUUCAUUCAAUUAUCUGUUGUCACUGUCAAAAAUAGAUUAAUCCUUUGAAUUAAGCUUGUACAAAUUAGUUGUACAAUGAGUUUGACAAUGUGCGAGGUGUAAAGAUUUUAGUCGUUGAUUUUCAAAUCAAUGGUUAGAAUUUUUGUCAACUUACACAUUGUCAAAUUAGUUGUAUAAGUAGCAUGAUUAUUGUUUUUUGACUUUUGUAUCUUACUUCUCUACAUAUUUGUUUGUCACAAGUAUUAAACAAUGAUGUGAAUGUCAUAUGUGGGUGUUUACCCGUAUACAUAUCUCUCAUGUAAGAAUCCGUACUUUACCACUUGAUAAUAAUGAUAGAACAGUAGGAAGUGAGUCGAGUUAUAGACCGUCAAUGUGGAGUUCACCUCAUCUCUUGAUCACAGUAAACUCCAAGCAGGAUUUAAAUUUAGCAUUGAAAGGUUCGCACUUGCCCCUUUAGUCCCAAACGUAAAUUAUAUAUGUCAUAGGCUUGUAGCUGAUUCAAGGCUGAUGGACAGGGGGCACAGGUUAAGGAGGGAACAAGCUUCUGACGAAGUAACAAAUUCUAUAGGUUGACUUGCUUUUACAGUUGUCUAAAUAUUUAGAUAUGAAGUUCUAGAAUUAGAACUGGCACAUAUAAUCUGAACUUCUAGAAUUAAAACUGGCACAUUAAAUGACAACUCGAUUUUUUAACUUGUGUCUUCAAAAAAAUAAAAUCAGCAUAUUUUGUAGCCACCAUUGAAUUAAGUGUUGUGCCUAGGAGUGCUAAAUGGAGCGAGUCGAGCUACUCAUACCAUUGGGCUUAUCUAAUGCUCACAAUAUGGGGGUGAGCUGAGCAUGAGCGAAGCUCGCUCCACAAGCUUGCCCCUUGAUGGGGUGACUUAGCUAAGCUGGUUCGUGCUUUUUAUUGAAAUUGCAUAUUCUCUCAAUUCAGCGAGUGGGUUUGCAUGGUAAAACUGUAGUUCGACUCGCUUCAAAAAACAAAUCGUAUAUCUCAAAUUGAUAAUAAAUACAAAAUUUAUCGAAGUUAAUCAAACAAUAUCACAAACAAUGUUGAUCAUUGGAAAGCAUCCAUUUCGGAAACUCUCGACAUAAUUCAUGAAAGAAUAAAGAAUUUUAUAAUUGCUAGACCUAUUUGUCUUUCAUUGUUUUAAAAUUCUUUUUUCUUCAUGUUCAUUUUCAAUAAUACAUUCAUACAAUAAAAUAUUUUAUACGUAAUCCUAAAUUAUUUUCCUAUUUUUUAACUAUAUAUUCUCUCAAAAUUUACUAUUCAAAACAUUAUUUUUCUAGAAAAAUGACCACCAAACUAGAUGUUUCAUUUCAAUAAGUUUGAAAAGUCCAAACAUCCGUACAACCUUCUUUUCGGCUUUUGGAGCAAUUGCUUUAUUUCUCGUUGAGGAAUCUCUAUUGGUUUUUCUUCAUAAGUCGAAUUUGGUUUUAUGUCUAUCGAUUCAAUCUUCAGUACAUGAUAGAGAUUUUCAAUGUAUUUUCUUAACAUGGAUACAUGAAAUACACUGUGCACUUGGGACAAUUAUGAAGGAAUAGGAGAGGGAUUUUCAAUUCUCUCAACAAUAAGAAACAGACCAAUGUAUUUCAGGUUCAAUUUCCAUCUACGUAAUUACAAGAUUGUAAGCCCUUUAUAGAGUUAAUAUUCUUAUCGAACACAGAAAGAAAUUAAACAAUCCAAAUGAAAUGAAAAAUGAAAUCAAUCACAAGUACUCAAACAGAUAAAGAGAAUGAACGAACACAUAGAAAAUCGAAAUCCCUGACCGAUAUCUUCAAACUAGAAGGGAUCAAACAGUAGUUUCUAGGAAGAAAAUCUGUGAUCAUACACGAUCAAUAUUUAUUCUACUAGCAAAGAUGCAUCUCUCCAAGCAAGUUCAUUUGAGAAGAAGAUCUAAACGGGGGCAGAUGAAAUUCAUUCAUCUCUUGAAUAUUUAUAAAGCAAUCCACAUCUCCAAGAAAACUCAUAAACCCAUUUGAACUAUGUCCUACAUAUAACAUUUCUUCACUGAUUUCCUUCUUCAUUCUGUGUUUGCUACUCUGUGAUACAGGCACAUCUCCUGAUGAAUCCAUUUUCUUCAUUGACUCGCUAACAUUAUCAUUGCCCUUCUUUGUACUUUUCCCUUUUCCUUGUCCCGUUGUAGGUUUACCUGUGAGUCUUUGUACAAGCUCUCGAAAAUUUUCGACAUCUGUCUUUAUAAUCUCUGGUGCAACUAUGUGAAUUACACGUAUCUUUGGCUUUAUUUUGGAUAUUGUGUGUGAAUACUUGUCCAGCCCCAACUUAGAAGGGGUUAAUAUGGUCUCACAUGUCUGUGGCUGCUUCAUGAUCUCUUUAGAGGGAGGGAGGGAGGGUGAUAUGUUGGAUAAACUUAGAAGAUGGAGCUCUCUCUCUCUCUCUCACACACACACACUAUAUAUAUAUAUAUAUAUAUAUAUAUAACAGGUUUAUCAAUUUGUGUUUAUCAAUUAUUGCUCAUCUAUCAACAUGUAUUUUUUAUAAACAUAAUUUUUUUUUUCCUCUCCGCUGCCGUCGGACAUAAACUUGGUCUAUGGAUAGCUAUAUUCCUAUUGUCGUUCGAGUGAACUCUAGCGAGUCACCACUUCAAGUUCAAAAAUUUGAUCAAACUUUCUUCCUUCUCUUAUCUAGUUAUAAUCCUAGAGGUAAGAUUUACUGCCCCUUCCCGUUCGUAAGAUAUAGUAAGAAUCCCGCAUAAACUUUAAUGGUAUUUCAACUAAAAAAAUAUACACAUGCUAGAAUUCUUAACAAAUAAAAUUGUUCUCCUGCUCACAAUGGAUGAGAUAAGACUGCCCCUUUGCUGAUAUGAAAAUAGAGCCCUAUUUACGGUUCUCUUCAAACACUGGCGGAUUCAACUUCCGGCAUGAACACGGGCUAAUACAGAAAAAAUAUAUAUAUAUUACACAUAAAAAAAAAUUUACUAAUUUUUUUUUUUUUAAAGGGAUUUGGGGCUGACGGAUUGGCGUGCUCGUCCCUGAAUCUGCCCCUGUCUUCAAACAUAAGAACCUCAAAUAAGGUUCUUUUCAAAGUAGGCAAGAUAAAACUUCUGGUCGUGGGCAGAAUAAUGAGAGUGUUCUUAACAGCUAGACAUGUCUAGUUGGGGGCAAUUCCAACAAAAAGUCCAAAUAUGGGGAGGAAAAAAAACAAAAAAAACAAUCUUGCCCUUUGGAAGUGAUGAUAAGAUGGAUUUUUGUCUGACAGGCUUGUAAAUAAUAUAAAUGUGCAAUAUNUUUAAGUGCCACUAAUUGCAGCAUAUGCAUGUAUCUGCUGUCACUGGAGAGCACGUGUGUAAAAAAGUGAUUGAUUAAUUUGAGGAGCUUCCUUUAUCGGAUAAAAUAUGAGAUCUUACAUUUUCACAGCUUUGCGUUCUUUAUAGCAGAAACUUAUUGAAAGCAUAUGGUGGUCUAAAUAGCUUUAUAAAAUGUUGGGUGCGCAUGCUUUUGGUUCCCCCGCCAUUACGAGGGAUGAAUCAUUGUUUUUGAACAAUAUUUGCCUUUCUUUAGAUAUAGUAAAACUUUUCACUUGCUCGUAUGCCAACUUUAUUUUUCUAGCCAGUCGUACUGAGAUAUUGCACAAGCCAUCACAGUCUAUGCAAUAUUCAAAAACGGUGUUUUAUUUGGUGGGUUAUACUGUUUACACCUGGACGUGUUUCUCACUUUCACAUCUGUUGUGGUUCAUAUUUUGUCGUUCAUACUGGCUACUUCAGUAAUUGUUUUGGACUGAUAAUGCCUUUGUCUUUCUCUUUCAGGUGUUGAACACAUCACUUGGUCAUGCCUAAGGGGUCAUUUGACAAAGCUUUUGAUAAAAAAAAUUUGUAGAUUUUGAUAGAAGUUGAGGUAAUAUGUGGUUGAAAGUUGAUAAAAGGUGUGGGCACAUGAAAUUUGCAGUUGAAGUUGAAGUUUUACCAGUUAAAAAGUUAGAAAAAUUUAAGAAAAAUUUAUCACCUAGGCACUAUUACUAUUUAUUGAUCUCACAUUCUCUUGACCUGAUCUGAAGAAUACAAAACAGGCAGAAAAGGGAGUAUGGGAAGAAAAUAAGGAAAUAGCAAAGGAAUGAGGUCAUACUUCCAUGUUAACUUUUUGAGUUUGUAAAUAAGAAGGCUGAUAGUAGUGAGAAACAGCUCAUCCAUUUGUUAGCUAUGCAUGUAAUGGCACUUUUGAAUAGUCAUUGAUACAGGUUUUGUUGUGCUACUUGAAUUUAUACAGUUCUCUUCAGUAAUAGGUGAUGCUUACCCAAGUACUCGAAAGAAAUUCAUAGAGCAUGUCAAGAUUUGUUUCAUAAUAAAUUGAUCCUCCAUAUUCUUUGGUGUUUUCUUCCGUUUUGAAUGUUUCACCGAUACUCAAUGGAACGUGGAAUUGGACCGACUGCUUUUUCCAUUUGGAAAAUGAUGAUUUGAUAUUAUGAAG